rnacentral:rRNA from 1 species
AUUGAACGCUGGCGGCAGGCCUAACACAUGCAAGUCGAACGAGUGGCGGACGGGUGAGUAAUGUCUGGGAAACUGCCUGAUGGCGGGGGAUAACUACUGGAAACGGUAGCUAAUACCGCAUACCCUCAGAUGUGCCCAGAUGGGAUUAGCUUGUUGGUGGGGUAACGGCUCACCAAGGCGACGAUGCCUAGCUGGUCUGAGAGGAUGACCAGCCAAGCUGGAACUGAGACACGGUCCAGAAUCCUACGGGAGGCAGGAGUGGGGAAUAUUGCACAAUGGGCGCAAGCCUGAUGCAGCAAGGCCGCGUGUAUGAAGAAGGCCUUCGGGUUGUAAAGUACUUUCUGCGGGGAGGCGUUACCCGCAGAGGAAGCACCGGCUAACUCCGUGCCAGCAGCCGCGGUAAUUC